rnacentral:rRNA from 1 species
CUGGCCUCACAUCGCCGCAGCACUUGUUCUUCCACCUCCAGCCUAGCGCAUGCACCAGCAAUGGGUGUGGCCGAUGCUGUAAACAAGAUGGCCACCGGCGGAUUUGGCCGCCAAGGUGCGGCAGCCGUUGGGGCGUCAGAGCUGCAACCACAUCACCGGAGAUGCUACCACUGGUGGUUGUGGGUGCUAAAACCCCUUGUCGGUGGAGCUGCAUCCAUCGGCGUCUGGCGAUGGAGAGCUACAACUGUUCACUCGGCGCAGCCCGGCAGUGGCCGUCGCAUGUCUCUAACCAUGGCAUGGCUCGAGUUUUUUUUGCUGGAACCAUCUCUAAAUUUUGCUACUAGUGUCUUCGGUUUUUGUUGGAUCCAACCUAGAUUCUGCUCGCAUGUUUGGUUUUGCUGGAACCAGUGUACUAAUUUGUUACCACCGUCUUCGUAUUUUGUUGGAACCAAGUAAAUUUUGCUGCCAUGUUUUUUGCUGGAAUCAUUUUUGUACCACGUUUACUACAACGGUUUUUGGUUUUGCUACUGUCAGCACUUUCGUUUGUUACAUCCUUUUCGAUGAGGUUGCCGAGACCCCUUACUGUGUGUUUUGCUACAGCCUCGAGCUGGACUUGAGGUUGUUUUUGUUGCAACCAGAACUUAGGUUGUUUUUGUUGCAACCGGCAAUCACAAAAGGUACAACCGGUGAUCGAUUUUGCGCCAAUGGCGAUGGGGGCGCCACCGACAAGCUAUAUUUGCUGGAACCAACACAAUUUUUUGCUACAACUGGAGGACAUUUUUGUUGCCACAAGCAAACCCAAAGGAAAGUACUUUUUCACGAGCUCGUCGCCAGGAUGCCAGGACCGGUAACCGGUGCUGCGGGCGUCCUGCCGAAGCUGCCACUACCAGUGAAGGAGCUACAACUGCGGGCGACCGUUGCUGCAUGCGUGGAUCCAGUGAGAAAGAGACGGGUAACUGGACAACAAGGCCGGCGACCGGCGGCGAGCUAUUGCCGUCGUGGGGUGGGUACAGCCACGACUCCCAUGCGUGACUGGUGGCUGGAUUUGAGAUGGGGGGAGAAAGACGACCUGCUGUCUGCGGGGAAUCUAAGAUGCGGGAGAAAGAAGACGACCUAUCAAGGGAUUAGACGGUUAGAAUUAGUUUAAUCGGACAGUGCAUGGUCGACCGGCUCAAACUCAAAUUUGGGCCGGUGCGCUGGCGCCCAUCAUUGCCCAAUGAAAAAAUUGCUAUAUAAUUACAACUGCUCCUAUAGUGCUUGAUGGUCAAACUGUUUAUUUGUGAGUUUGCAAUUUUUUCACUAAUUUUAUUGUGCAAAACGAG